UACGAAGGGGGGCUAGCGUUGCUCGGAAUCACUGGGCGUAAAGGGUGCGUAGGCGGGUCUUUAAGUCAGGGGUGAAAUCCUGGAGCUCAACUCCAGAACUGCCUUUGAUACUGAGGAUCUUGAGUUCGGGAGAGGUGAGUGGAACUGCGAGUGUAGAGGUGAAAUUCGUAGAUAUUCGCAAGAACACCAGUGGCGAAGGCGGCUCACUGGCCCGAUACUGACGCUGAGGCACGAAAGCGUGGGGGAGCAAACAGGA
rnacentral:rRNA from 1 species